UACGUAGGGCGCAAGCGUUAUCCGGAAUUAUUGGGCGUAAAGAGCUCGUAGGCGGUUUGUCGCGUCUGCCGUGAAAGUCCGGGGGCUCAACUCCGGAUCUGCGGUGGGUACGGGCAGACUAGAGUGAUGUAGGGGAGACUGGAAUUCCUGGUGUAGCGGUGAAAUGCGCAGAUAUCAGGAGGAACACCAAUGGCGAAGGCAGAUCUCUGGGCCGUAACUGACGCUGAGGAGCGAAAGCAUGGGGAGCGAACAGG
rnacentral:rRNA from 1 species